ACGGAAGGCAGCAGUGAGGAAUAUUGGUCAAUGGGCGGAAGCCUGAACCAGCCAAGUCGCGUGAAGGAUGAAGGUAUUAUGUAUUGUAAACUUCUUUAGCAGCAGAGUAAUAAGGGGGUCGUGACCCCCGAUGCAAGUAUGCUGAAAAUAAGGAUCGGCUAACUCCGUGCCAGCAGCCGCGGUAAUACGGAGGAUCCGAGCGUUAUCCGGAUUUAUUGGGUUUAAAGGGUGCGCGGGCGGUUUUUUAAGUCAGUGGUUAAAUCGUGAGGCUCAACCUCAUCACGCCAUUGAUACUGGAAGACUUGAUUGCGGUUGAGGUUGGCGGAAUUCGUCGUGUAGCGGUGGAAUGCAUAGAUAUGACGAAGAACACCGAUUGCGUAGGCAGCUGACCAAGCCGUAAAUGACGCUCAUGCACGAAAGUGCGGGGAUCGAACAGGAUUAGAUACCCUGGUA
rnacentral:rRNA from 1 species